rnacentral:rRNA from 1 species
UGGGGAAUUUUGGACAAUGGACGCAAGUCUGAUCCAGCCAUGCCGCGUGCGGGAAGAAGGCCUUCGGGUUGUAAACCGCUUUUGUCAGGGAAGAAACGGCUUUCUCUAAUACAGAGAGCUAAUGACGGUACCUGAAGAAUAAGCACCGGCUAACUACGUGCCAGCAGCCGCGGUAAUACGUAGGGUGCAAGCGUUAAUCGGAAUUACUGGGCGUAAAGCGUGCGCAGGCGGUUAUGCAAGACAGAGGUGAAAUCCCCGGGCUCAACCUGGGAACUGCCUUUGUGACUGCAUAGCUAGAGUACGGUAGAGGGGGAUGGAAUUCCGCGUGUAGCAGUGAAAUGCGUAGAUAUGCGGAGGAACACCGAUGGCGAAGGCAAUCCCCUGGACCUGUACUGACGCUCAUGCACGAAAGCGUGGGGAGCAAACAG